GAUGAACGCUGACAGAAUGCUUAACACAUGCAAGUCAACUUGAACUUUGGUUUGGGUGGCGGACGGGUGAGUAACGCGUAAAGAACUUGCCUCACAGCUAGGGACAACAUUUGGAAACGAAUGCUAAUACCUGAUAUUAUGAUUAUAUGGCAUCGUAUAAUUAUGAAAGCUAAAUGCACUGUGAGAGAGCUUUGCGUCCCAUUAGCUAGUUGGAGAGGUAACGGCUCACCAAGGCGAUGAUGGGUAGCCGGCCUGAGAGGGUGAACGGCCACAAGGGGACUGAGACACGGCCCUUACUCCUACGGGAGGCAGCAGUGGGGAAUAUUGGACAAUGGACCGAGAGUCUGAUCCAGCAAUUCUGUGUGCACGAUGAAGUUUUUCGGAAUGUAAAGUGCUUUCAGUUGGGAAGAAAAAAAUGACGGUACCAACAGAAGAAGUGACGGCUAAAUACGUGCCAGCAGCCGCGGUAAUACGUAUGUCACGAGCGUUAUCCGGAUUUAUUGGGCGUAAAGCGCGUCUAGGUGGUUAUGUAAGUCUGAUGUGAAAAUGCAGGGCUCAACUCUGUAUUGCGUUGGAAACUGUAUAACUAGAGUACUGGAGAGGUAAGCGGAACUACAAGUGUAGAGGUGAAAUUCGUAGAUAUUUGUAGGAAUGCCGAUGGGGAAGCCAGCUUACUGGGACAGAUACUGACGCUGAAGCGCGAAAGCGUGGGGUAGCAAACAGGAUUAGAUACCCUGGUAGUCCAAGGGCGAAUUCCACAGUGGGAUAUCAAGCUUAUCGAUACCGUCGACCUCGAGGGGGGGGCCCGGGUACACAGCUUAUUGUUCUCUUUUGUGAGGGUA
rnacentral:rRNA from 1 species